AAGCUAAGUUGGAAGACGAAGUGGACUUUACAGAAGAGAGAAUGCUGGCAUGAGUAGCGAAAAGGAGGGUGAGAAUCCCUCCCGUCGAAAGCCUAAGGAUUCCUGAGGAAGGCUCGUCCUCUCAGGGUAAGUCGGGACCUAAGCCCAGGCUGAAAAGCGUAAGCGAUGGACAACAGGUUGAGAUUCCUGUACUAUCUUUGAAUGUUUGAGAGAUGUACUGACGCAGGAGGAUAUGUUGAGCGUGUGAAUGGUAGAGCACGUCUAAGCAAGUAGGUAGAGAAUAGAGGCAAAUCCCUAUUCUUAAUAUCGAGAUGCGAUGGGGAGCGAAAAAUAAGUAGUGAAGCAACAGAUUCCAAACUGCCAAGAAAAGGUACUAUUGAGUGAGAAGAUACCCGUACCAAAACCGACACAGGUAGGCAAGGAGAGAAUCCUAAGACGCGCGGAAGAACCUUUGUUAAGGAACUCGGCAAAAUGACCCCGUAACUUCGGGAGAAGGGGUACCAUUAGAUGUGAAGUACUUACGUAUGGAGCAUAGAGUGGUCGCAGAGAAUAGGCCCAAGCAACUGUUUACCAAAAACACAAGUCUCUGCUAAAUCGAAAGAUGAAGUAUAGGGGCUGACACCUGCCCGGUGCUGGAAGGUUAAGGGGAAAUGUUAGAGCAAUCGAAGCAUAGAACUUAAGCCCCAGUAAACGGCGGCCGUAACUAUAACGGUCCUAAGGUAGCGAAAUUCCUUGUCGGGUAAGUUCCGACCCGCACGAAAGGUGUAAUGAUUUGGGCACUGUCUCAACAAAGGAUCCGGUGAAAUUGUAGUAGUCGUGAAGAUGCGACUUACCCACGAUAGGACGGAAAGACCCCGUGGAGCUUUACUGUAGGCUGGCAUUGGAAUUUGGUAUUAAAUGUACAGGAUAGGUGGGAGACAAUGAAGCGAGAGCGCCAGUUUUCGUGGAGUCAACGUUGGGAUACCACUCUUUUGAUACUAAAUUUCUAACUUGAUACUCUGAAGCGAGUAUAAGGACACUGUCAGUUGGGCAGUUUGACUGGGGCGGUCGCCUCCUAAAGAGUAACGGAGGCGUUCAAAGGUUCCCUCAGAAUGGAUGGAAAUCAUUCUAAGAGUGCAAAGGCAAAAGGGAGCUUAACUGCGACACCAACAAGUGGAGCAGAUAGGAAACUAGGACUUAGUGAUCCGGUGGUACCGAGUGGAAGGGCCAUCGCUCAACGGAUAAAAGCUACCCCGGGGAUAACAGGCUUAUCUCCCCCAAGAGUUCACAUCGACGGGGAGGUUUGGCACCUCGAUGUCGGCUCGUCUCAUCCUGGGGCUGGAGUAGGUCCCAAGGGUUGGGCUGUUCGCCCAUUAAAGAGGCACGCGAGCUGGGUUCAGAACGUCGUGAGACAGUUCGGUCCCUAUCCAUCGUGGGCGUAGGAAAUUUGAGAGGAGCUGUCCUUAGUACGAGAGGACCGGGAUGGACAGACCGCUGGUGUAUCAGUUAUCAUGCCAAUGGUAAUGCUGAAUAGCUAAGUCUGGAAGGGAUAAGUGCUGAAGGCAUCUAAGCACGAAGCCCCCCUCAAGAUGAGAUUUCCUGUUGCAGCAAUGCAAGAGAGAUUCGAUACAGAAAAUGUCGUAGAUAGGUCAGAGGUGUAAAGGUGGCAACAUCAAAGCUAACUGAUACUAAUAAAUCGAAAGCUUGACCA
rnacentral:rRNA from 1 species